rnacentral:rRNA from 1 species
UACGAAGGGGGCUAGCGUUGCUCGGAAUCACUGGGCGUAAAGCGCACGUAGGCGGAUCUUUUAAGUCAGGGGUGAAAUCCUGGAGCUCAACUCCAGAACUGCCUUCGAUACUGGCGAUCUUGAGUCCGGAAGAGGUGAGUGGAACUCCUAGUGUAGAGGUGGAAUUCGUAGAUAUUAGGAAGAACACCAGUGGCGAAGGCGGCUCACUGGUCCGGUACUGACGCUGAGGUGCGAAAGCGUGGGGAGCAAACAGG